rnacentral:rRNA from 1 species
AAUGAACGUUGGCGGCGUGGAUUAGGCAUGCAAGUCGAGCGAGGAAAGUUGUAGCAAUACGGCUUAUUCGAGCGGCGUAAGGGGCAGUAAUACCUGGGAACGUACCCUGAGGUCGGGGAUAGCUGCUGGAAACGGCGAGUAAUACCCGAUGAUCUCGAGAGAGCAAAGGCUUGCCGCCUUCGGAGCGGCCCAGGCGAUAUUAGCUAGUUGGUGGGGUAACGGCCUACCAAGGCGUAGAUGUCUAGCGGGUGUGAGAGCACGACCCGCGCCACUGGCACUGAGACACUGGCCAGACACCUACGGGUGGCUGCAGUCGAGAAUCUUCGGCAAUGAGCGCAAGCUUGACCGAGCGACGCCGCGUGCGGGAUGAAGGCC